GACGAACGCUGGCGGCGUGCUUAACACAUGCAAGUCGAACGGAAAGGCCCUGCUUUUGUGGGGUGCUCGAGUGGCGAACGGGUGAGUAACACGUGAGUAACCUGCCCUUGACUUUGGGGUAACUUCAGGAAACUGGGGCUAAUACCGGAUAGGAGCUCCUGCUGCAUGGUGGGGGUUGGAAAGUUUCGGCGGUUGGGGAUGGACUCGCGGAUUAUCAGCUUGUUGGUGGGGUAGUGGCUUACCAAGGCUUUGACGGGUAGCCGGCAUGAGAGGGUAGCCGGCCACAUUGGGACUGAGAUACGGCCCAGACUCCUACGGGAGGCAGCAGUGGGGAAUAUUGCACAAUGGGCGGAAGCCUGAUGCAGCAACGCCGCGUGCGGGAUGACGGCCUUCGGGUUGUAAACCGCUUUCGCCUGUGACGAAGCGUGAGUGACGGUAAUGGGUAAAGAAGCACCGGCUAACUACGUG
rnacentral:rRNA from 1 species